CCUACGGGUGGCAGCAGUGAGGAAUAUUGGUCAAUGGCCGAGAGGCUGAACCAGCCAAGUCGCGUGAGGGAAGACGGCCCUACGGGUUGUAAACCUCUUUUGUCGGGGAGCAAAACGAGUCACGUGUGACUCACUGAGAGUACCCGACGAAAAAGCAUCGGCUAACUCCGUGACAGCAGCCGCGGUAAUACGGAGGAUGCGAGCGUUAUCCGGAUUGAUUGGGUUUAAAGGGAGCGCAGGCGGAGGGGCAAGUCAGCGGUCAAAUUGCGGGGCUCAACCCCGUACUGCAGUUGAAACUGUAUGCCUUGAGUGCACGAGAGGUAGGCGGAAUGCGUGGUGUAGCGGUGAAAUGCAUAGAUAUCACGAAGAACUCCGAUUGCGAAGGCAGCAGACCGGCGCGCAACUGACGCUCAUGCACGAAAGCGUGGGUAUCGAACAGGAUUAGAUACCCCAGUAGUC
rnacentral:rRNA from 1 species